rnacentral:tRNA from 1 species
GCCGCCGAAACAUAGAUAGCGAUGUGCCGGUCUUGUAAACCGGUAAGCAGGGUGCAAGUCCUUGCGGUGGCUCCA